GGGACCGGCAGGCUCUUGCAAAGGGCUGGCGACCUCCAGCUGAGACCGGCGGUGUUAUUCCCACACCAGCAUAGGCCCGCCAUCAGACCUAAAAAGUCCAAGGGUCGCCUUCUAGCCUGGGGUUUCAACUCCCAGCCAAGACUUCUUACAGAAUGCCCACCAGAAUGGCUGUGCAGACAACACCAGCCCUCUGGACUAGAGAGGAGCUACCUUCCUAGCUGCCACUGUGACAGCUGGCCCUGGACCCUGGAAGGGCAGACCAACCCACAGUCAGGAGGUCCUGGCCCAGCCCCGGCCCCGGCACCAGCACCCAAAGGCAAAAAGGCAACUCAGAAAAACAGAGGUUAAUAAGUUGUGAGUUAAAAUAAGGUACAUACACACAUAUUUGGACAUAAACAUUUGUUUUAAUUUAUAUUAAUAAAAGGAAAUGCUCUACUUAAA
rnacentral:antisense_RNA from 1 species